rnacentral:rRNA from 1 species
AUUAUCGAUAUCUUGCUGAAAAUUGAAGUUGAUCUUGUGGUUAGAAAAAUAAUUUAAAGUUAAGUAAUUUGAGGUGAAAAGAAACUUAAUGGGCUAAAGUUUAAAGUACUGUAAAGGAAAGAAUAAAAAUAAAUUCUUAAUAGAAAGUUUAAGUUGCUGUACCUUUUGUAUUAGGGGGUGUUAAUAUAAGUUAAUUAAUUUAGUUAUCUCGAAAUAAAAACAGUUAAUUUUAUAAAAUUUUUUUUGUAGAAUAAAAAUGUUGAAUAUAAAUUUAAAGAUGAAAUGUCAGUCGAGUUUUAUAAUAUCUAGUUUUUUUAGAUAUAAAUUUAAUUUAGGUUUUAUGUUGAUAAGAUUUAAAAUCAAAAUAUAGGAGGGAGUAGCUUCUUAUAUAUUUUAUUGAAGAGUUAAAUAUAAAAAGAAUGUUUGAAUUAGGCUUUAAAGUAGCUAUAGUAAUAAAGUGUUUUAACUAAGUAUAAUGUUUAAUAAUAUUUGUAUUUACUUUUAAGUAAUAUAAAAAAAUUGAUUAAGAUAAAAUAAAUUAAGAUAUAAUGAUUUUAUUAGUAGAGUUGUAUUGUAAAAGGAAAUAUUAUAAUAACAAAAGUGUUUUAUAGAAUAAUAUGGAGAUAUAAAGGAACUCGGCAAAUAUUUUUCUUGCCUGUUUAUCAAAAACAUGUCUGUUUGGAGGUAUAAGAAGUCUGGCCUGCCCACUGAUAAAGUUUAAAGGGCCGCGGUAUAUUGACCGUGCGAAGGUAGCAUAAUCGUUAGGUUUUUAAUUGAAAUCUAGAAUGAAUGGUUUGACAAAGAAAAAGCUGUCUUUAUGUUUAAUAAUUGAAUUUAACUUUUAAGUGAAAAGGCUUAAAUAAAUUAAAGGGACGAUAAGACCCUAUAAAACUUAAUGUGAUAUUUAAAUUAAGUUAAAAUUUAAAAAUUAAAGAUUUAGUUAAAGUUUCGCAUUAUAUUGGGGCGAUAAAUAUAAAAUGUUUAGUAGCUGUAAAAAGUUAAAGACAAAGAUAAAUGAGUAGAGUGGUUAAAUGAUCCUGAUUAAAGAUUAUAAGUUUAAGUUACUUUAGGGAUAACAGCGUUAUUUUUUUUGAGAGUUCUUAUCGAAAAAAAAGUUUGCGACCUCGAUGUUGAAUUAAAAUUUCUA